UGGGGAAUCUUGCGCAAUGGGGGAAACCUUGACGCAGCAACGCCGCGUGGGUGAUGAAGGCCUUCGGGUCGUAAAGCCCUGUCAGGUGGGAAGAAAGAUGUCGGUGCUAAUAUCACCGAUGUUUGACGGUACCGCCGGAGGAAGCACCGGCUAACUCCGUGCCAGCAGCCGCGGUAAUACGGAGGGUGCAAGCGUUGUUCGGAAUUACUGGGCGUAAAGCGCGUGUAGGCGGUCGGGCAAGUCAGAUGUGAAAGCCUUCCGCUUAACGGAAGAAGUGCGUUUGAAACUACCCGGCUGGAGUACGGGAGAGGAGAGUGGAAUUCCCGGUGUAGAGGUGAAAUUCGUAGAUAUCGGGAGGAACACCAGUGGCGAAGGCGGCUCUCUGGUCCGAUACUGACGCUGAGACGCGAAAGCGUGGGGAGCAAACAGGAUUAGAUACCCUGGUAGUCCACGCCGUAAACGAUGGGCACUAGGUGUAGGAGGUAUUGACCCCUUCUGUGCCGAAGUUAACGCAUUAAGUGCCCCGCCUGGGGAGUACGGCCGCAAGGUUA
rnacentral:rRNA from 1 species